UACGUAGGGUGCAAGCGUUGUCCGGAAUUAUUGGGCGUAAAGAGCUCGUAGGCGGUUCGUCGCGUCGGCUGUGAAAACCUGAGGCUCAACCUCAGGCCUGCAGUCGAUACGGGCGGACUUGAGUACUGCAGGGGAGACUGGAAUUCCUGGUGUAGCGGUGAAAUGCGCAGAUAUCAGGAGGAACACCGGUGGCGAAGGCGGGUCUCUGGGCAGUAACUGACGCUGUGGAGCGAAAGCGUGGGGAGCGAACAGG
rnacentral:rRNA from 1 species